UACGGCCACUUCACAUUGAAACACUUAUUCCAAUACGAUCACCAAAGUUAAGCAACGUCGAGCCUGGUCAGUACCUAGAUGGGUGACUGAUUGGGAAUAGCAGGUGCUGUAUGC